rnacentral:lncRNA from 1 species
AUGCAUUUGAAGGUAAAUUACCGACCUAGUCUACUGGUAAACUUUACAAAAGUUUGUUCAUGCGUUUUAGGUAGAAUACCGACCAAGUCUACUGAUCAACUUCGCAAAAUUUGGUUCAGUCGUUGUAGGUAUCGUCUACAACACUUUUUUAUCGGUCUUUUUACGUAUGUAUCAUCAGUCAUUAAUUAAUUGACCAAAAAAUGUAUAAUAUAAAAUAUAAAAGCUUCGGAUUUUGCAAAUAAUAAAAAGCAAAUUGUUGCGUCUUUUAAAAUUUGUUUAAAGUUAAAAAAACUUUCAAACGAAGGACUAGAUAAAAACUUUUGAAUUUGUACAAAAAGAGAAGUUUAAAAGAAGAAUAAGAAAAAUUAAAACAGCACAUUAUUUACAAUUUGGUAAAACUUUACAAACUCAUUAAAACUCUUAAAUGUUAAAAGAUUAUUAGUCUUCGAAAGCAACAAAAUGUGAGAGGGAAAAAAUAACUGACCAAAAAAAGAUCAACUAAAGGCAGAUGGAGAUGCGCAAUGCAACAAGCCGUAAUCCGUAUCUAACUCGACCAAAAUUUGGGUAUUGCCAACGUAACAAUGAGGUCGUUUUCGGGUCAGUGUUAAAUAGAAGAUAAAAAGCGUUUUCCUUUUAGAAUAUAAAAAUUAUCUCGAAGAAAACGUUAAAAAUUGUUCCAAGGAAAACAAAUGUGAUGAUCCAACUGUUUUGAAAAUUCCCUCCAAAAACGCAACGUUGUCUUGACAAGAUAAAACCUUACAAAAAAGGGAACAAAAAGUAGAUUCAAUAUUCUUGAUAACUUCACAGAAAGCAAAUACUCGUUGGAAUUUUUCAUCCAUUAACUAUAAUUCUAAUUUCGUCAAAGAAUUCUAAGGUUAUGAAAAAGGGGGAGAAAAAAAGAAGAAAAAAAUAGUAAAAUAAAAAAAAAUUGAACGAUUCCAAAACAAGAGAAGUGCAUCACUCACAUUUUGGGGUAAGAAUUUGAGCUGAACAUAUAUGGAGUAACUUUUUACUGCAAUUAACGCAGCGUCACUACUAGCAAUUAAAUCAAUGGCUACAAAGAAUUAAAAAAAAGAUACAUUAGAAUUUAUCACUGCUUCCAAAUUGGAGAAUUUUCAGAAUAUUUGGAACAAGGGGCACAAAUUCAGAACAUCCCUGUGUUUAAAUGAGAAACUUAACAUUGUUUCGAAACUUCAUGAUACAUGUUCAAAAUAACUGAAUUCGGUAAAAUCUCGUCAUUUUUUUCUAGCCUCAGUAAUAAUUAUACGUACGUACUUGGUUUUUUCCCCUGGAUACUUAUUCUCAUUCAAGAGUUACAAACUCGAAUCAUACUAGAAAUGAAUAAACGAGAUCUGUGAUAAAGUUGCUAAGGCUGUAAACAUAACUUGAUUCCCUUCGGUGAAAAAUGAGGCUUUGUCGA